GUGACUGCCCCGGCGCUGGCCGCAAGUGUUAGUUGUCCGGUGCAGCCACGGGCAGUCACACACAGCAAGACACGGUUCCUGCCGACGGGGUCUGUCUAGUCAUCAGAGCUUCCGUGCGAUGGCUCCGUACAUG